rnacentral:rRNA from 1 species
AUGACAAAUAUUCAGGUCGAACUGGACUGCCAGGUCCUUGUCAAGGCGCUGAAGGGAACAGAGGCGGACCGUGCUCCUGAAGGCCUCCUGUUCAGGGAGAUUCGUCAAUUCGCUAGGCUAAAUUUUAGCACAGUUUCCUUUUCUUUUGCCCCGAGGGCAUGUAAUAAGCUUGCGCAUGCUUUAGCUGCCUAUGGUGCUUGCCAUGAGGCAAGUGGAGAAACCUGGUCUGGGGAUCUCCCUGACGAUGGAGCUAUACGUUUGGCCAGCGUCUUGGCUGAGCCGGUGUGA